AAUUUUUUAUUGUCUAGUGUUUGUCUCAGAGCGAGACAUGGAGAGAUGGAAGAAAAGGAAGCUGGAGCUAGCCCAAGAAAAACCAAAGUCAAUAAACACUGUCUGUAGAUGGAAAAGGGACGACAUCACUAAGCUGAUUCAGUUCUACAUGUUCAAAUCUGGGACUCGUGAGUCACACAUGGAGGAUGAAACAGAGUAAGUAAGCAGUAUCAGUCUGUUACUGUUCUCUGAUUAACAGUCAUUUUUACUCUCUGACCAUUGUAGAAAGAGAACUCUCUGCUAAACAUGGAGAAAAAACAGAGCAUUCGGAGAAGAUGGCAAGAAUCUGAUUUAAUCUUCCAGUCCACCCUUAAAGAUGACCGUGAUGUCAGAGGCCAACUGAUCUGGAAGGCUAGAGCUGAAUCAAAGGAGAGAGCCGUCCUCCUCCAUCUGAAGAGGAAAUA